rnacentral:rRNA from 1 species
GACGAACGCUGGCGGCGUGCCUAAUACAUGCAAGUAGAACGCUGAAGGAGGAGCUUGCUUCUCUGGAUGAGUUGCGAACGGGUGAGUAACGCGUAGGUAACCUGCCUGGUAGCGGGGGAUAACUAUUGGAAACGAUAGCUAAUACCGCAUAAUAGUAGAUGUUGCAUGACAUUUGCUUAAAAGGUGCAAUUGCAUCACUACCAGAUGGACCUGCGUUGUAUUAGCUAGUUGGUGAGGUAACGGCUCACCAAGGCGACGAUACAUAGCCGACCUGAGAGGGUGAUCGGCCACACUGGGACUGAGACACGGCCCAGACUCCUACGGGAGGCAGCAGUAGGGAAUCUUCGGCAAUGGACGGAAGUCUGACCGAGCAACGCCGCGUGAGUGAAGAAGGUUUUCGGAUCGUAAAGCUCUGUUGUAAGAGAAGAAACGAGUGUGAGAAGUGGAAAAG